UUAGGCAACCCGGGUUUUAUGUUGAUUUGAUAAACAAAGGAUAUUGAUACUUUUUGUAUAAGAACAUGAUUGUUAGAUAACUUUACAUUUUAAAGUUAUUGGCUAUGUAACAUGUUUCCUCCGUAACUAGUAUCCUCACUCUCCCCUACAUAUCUAAAUAAUACAACCUUAUAUAUGGAUUCAGUGUCAUAGAUAUGAGUUAUUUGUUUGUUAUGUACAUCAAUGACACUUAAUGACUCGAAUCAAUGAAAGAGUUUUCCGAGAAUAUUAGAAGUUUCAAUGGAAGAGCUGCAGAUGAAGGAUGAGAGUUCCUCUCUGUACAUUUCAUUCCAGUAUUAUUCAUCUUUAUUAAACAGAUCCUCAGUUUUUAGAGAAGUAUACAAUGAUUCCAUAAGAUCUAGUGUACCUAUUUGAAGCAAUGGGUGAUGAAGUAACAAAUUUUGACGAUAAAGGGCAUCUACACAAUCAAUGAUACUUCCAUUAAAUUAGAUGUCAUCCACCGAGUAUUGCCUUUGCCUUUAUUAGGAGCUCAAAAGAAAUUAUUCCUCCAUUGAAAUUAUCUGACUUUCACCCAAUCCAAUCCUCAUUUAAAACGAUAAGACUUAUUCACUUUAUUCAUGAGUAAUUCCUUGGUCACUAUGGAAACAUAUUCCGAGGGUUGAACUUCUUUUACAUUACCAUUUAAGUGAAGAUAGCCAGUCGAAUCUCAUUCCCUUAUAUAAAUUAUCUUACUUUCGUCCAAUCCAAUCCUCAUUCAAAACGAUAAAACUAAUUCCUCGGUCACUAAGGAAACAUAUUCCGAGGGUUGAACUUCUUUUACAAUAUCAUUUAUGUGAAGAUGAGAAGAGCCAGUCGAAACUCAUCAGGGAACUCUUUCGGAAGUAACAGGAAAACUAAAGCAAGCACAUAAAUAGAUGAAGUCCUCGUCCUACCUCAUCAUCAUCAAGAGUUAAAGAAACGUGCUUCAAUUGUAUUGGGUUUUCCUUUUAUAAAUGAUAUUUAAAUAAAAAUUGGAAAAUGUAGAGGUUGUAAAUUUUGCAUAAACAAACAUUUAAAACAGUCGCGUAAAAAAUAAUCUGUAAAAACAUUAAUAAAUAGUUGAAUCACUGUUA
rnacentral:lncRNA from 1 species